UUCCCGUCCAGCCUCGCUCGUUCCGCAACGUUCCCCUUCGUUUACCCUUCAGGGAAGAGUUUCCUUUUCCCAGUUCCGCUCUGGUUGUCGUUGCUGGCUCUAAAAUAGAGUUUCUGAGUCCUGGGGAGGCCCUGGCUCUGUUCAGGAGCUGCUGUUGGCGUCAGAGCUCAGAGCUUCGCUGCCUCGAGCAGCAAAACAUCCUGCUGAGCACAAGCGCUGGAAUUGCUCCUUCUGCGCUCGCUCCUCCUUCCCAGUGCAUUGGCUUGUUCCUAUAGGUGCUUCCUAUUGAUUUACCACAUGUACUUAUAUCGGAGCAGUGAGAUGGACAGUGGUUUCUCACACUGAAAGUGUAUUGGGAUCCCGACCUCCCAAAGUGACAAAAAUCUGGCGCCCCGAGGGGAAGAAGAGGCUCUGAAGGAAUGAGGCGAUCCAGCUCGCGCAGCGUUUGUCAUCCAGGCUGAUCAGGUCGUUUCCCUCUGGCUUUUGAUGGGGAAAAAGCACGUUGAGACAGUGCAAACCACCAGAGGAAUCGCAACCCGCUCGAGCUCCGAGCCACGUGUGACGGCCCGUGCUGCCCAGCCCGCACGGGGCCCCCGAAAUCCUGGGAGGAACAAAAGCACUGGUGUAGGAGUCAUUCCCUGUGAGUGGUUGAACUGGGGCAGAAUCCUGCGGCUCGGGAACGCGACCUCUGCUCGCAGAACGGUUUGUGAUGGUUCCAGUGCAACGAACGAGCCGCGCAAGAGUCACUGGGGAGAGCAAAGAGCGCUUGAGGCCGCUGGUCACAAACCCAGCGGGGUUUUUGGCUAGAAGAGUUUUUAAGGGGAGAUCUAGCAAAUAGAGCGUGGCAGUCUUGGACCGUGACUAUUUUUCAUCAGUUUUAAGCGCAAUUUUAGGGGAUAAACCUUAAUUUUGCCGCAUCCCCGCGGCUUUUCCGACAGCGAAGCCCAGGCCUGGGUACGGGUGUCACCGCUCUUGAGUGGCGACCGGCGACUUGUGCCAGCGCCGGCAUCCCAAGGACGCUGAUCUGCGCGGAGAUUUGUGCCGUGGGGGUCACAGGACGUACCCGUGAGGCCGCGGCUGGUUUCCUGCCCUCGGGGACUCGAGUGUUGCUCGAAAGCCUCGCUCGGUGUCUGCGUGGAGGCCGAACGCUUGUGAGAGUCCCGGGACGAUGGUGCCAAAUGGGCGCGCGCCCUGGCAGCGGUGCGGGUAUGUGACCUGCUUUCUUGUUGGCAUAGAGAUGGAGGUAGUCACGUUUCCCCUCUGGCCGGCUCCGGGCCACAGCUGCUUUCACAGAGCUUUGGGAAAUUUCACGUUACAAGCUGGAAAUACCCCAAAGAAAAUGGUUGGGUUUUGUCCUACAGCCAGAAGGACACGGGGGUUCCUCUGCAGUGUCCGGGCCGGGAGCCUCUGCCGGUGUCACCGAGGAGCAGGUGACACCAGAGGUCCCGACGCCGGCUGGGAAAACGACCUUGGGCUGUGCCGCCGAGGGCAGAGCCACGUAAACAAGUGGAUGUGUCUGUGACGUUCCACGAAUGUUCCGAAGCCAGAGGAGUGAAUGCGCCCUCGCUGCUGCAUCCCCGCGCCCCAGCAAGGCCCAGCCCUGGUCCUCGGCCACCGGAGACAUGGCCAGAGCUCCCAACAGCCCUUCCCAUGGACUCGUUCUGCUGGAGCCCAGGGAGCGGCAGGAGAUGUGCCAGGGGGUCAGUGGACAUGAGGCAAAGGUUCUUCCCCAGAGGUGCUGGACACUGAACAGGCUCCCAGGGAGGUGUCACGGCCCAACCUGACAGUGUUCAACAAGAGACUGGACACCGUCCUCAGACACACGGGUGACCUGUGGGGUGUCCUGUGCAGGGACAGACGUUGGACUCCAUGAUCUGUGGGUCCCUCCAGCUCAGGACACUCUGUGGUUCUGUGACUUCUCUGGGCUGGCAGUGACCUCCGGGCCUGGCCCGUCGAGGCCAGCGCUGAGCAGCCCUUGGGAAGGAGCGUGGUGCCCUUCCCGUUGCCUCCCGGCUGCCGUUUGGUGAACAGCUGAUACGCUCUUGAGGAGCAGAGAAGGGAAGAUCAACACGAAAAGCCAUUUUUGUUCAUCUUCAGAACACCUUUUGAGAACGUCCUCCAACAGUGACCCUUUCCAGUCCAUUAAAUGACCCAUCGAGAGGAAAAAGUUCAUGUCUUGAUACAGCCUGCUGAUGACUGAAGAUUGAUGAUCUACUGGUUGUAUGGAAGAUCUGCUGGUUGUAUGGAAGAUCUACUGGUUGUAUGGACAAUCUGCAGGUUGUGUGGGUGAUCUGCAGGUUGUAUUGAAGAUCUACUGGUUAUAUUGAUGAUCAGCAGGUUGUAUUGAUGAUCUGCAGGUUGUAUUGAUGAUCUGCAGGUUGUAUUGAUGAUCUGCAGGUUGUAUGGGUGAUCUGCUGGUUGUAUUGAAGAUCUACUGGUUAUAUUGAUGAUCUGCAGGUGGUACUGAAGAUCUGCUGGUUGUAUUGAAGAUCUGCUGGUUGUAUUGAAGAUCUGCUGGUUGUAUUGAGGAUCUGCUGGUUGUAUUGAAGAUCUGGUUGUAUUGAGGAUCUGCUAGUUGUAUUGAUGAACUGCAGGUUGUAUUGGUGAUCUGCAGGUUCUAUUGAGGAACUGCUGGCUGUAUUGAUGAUCUGCAGGUUGUAUUGAAGAUCUGCUGGCUGUAUUGGCGAUCUGCAGGUUGUAUUGAAGAUCUGCAGGUUGUAUUGAUGAUCUGCAGGUUGUAUUGAUGAUCUGCAGGUUGUAUUGAUGAUCUGCUGGCUGUAUUGAUGAUCUGCAGGUUGUAUUGAAGAUCUGCUGGCUGUAUUGAUGAUCUGCAGGUUGUAUUGAAGAUCUGUUGGCUGUAUUGAUGAUCUGCAGGUUGUAUUGAAGAUCUGUUGGCUGUAUUGAUGAUCUGCAGGUUGUAUUGAAGAUCUGCUCCUGACCCGUGAAGCUCCCAGAUGGGUCUGGGUUUCUUGCCCUGUCACAAGCGCAGCUCUAAGGGACUUGGUUGCCUCGUGGAGCUCAGUGGAUGUGGAACCAGAGUGGCCGAGUCACCGAGGUGUGAACAGGAACGCGCAGGCAAAGCGGGGCUUCAUCCGUAACCAACGUCAGCAAAUACGGGCUCUGCUGUCGGGAGAAAACUGAUAACACAAUAUGAACGAGCCCUUCAGAAUUAUCUUCAGGAUCAAUUCCUUCCCGCUCUGCGGCUCAGUGGAGGGAAAAUUCUCCUUUAAACAGAGAUAUUUGGCAGUUUGGGGUUCGUCAGGCCUAGUAUGGAAUGAUACGCAGGGCAGGGAGUGUGGGUUUAUCCCACCACUUGGAAUGUCCUGGCAAGAGCCUCUGGAAACUGGGAAAUAAAGAGCGGGAGUUUCUCCAGAGAGCUGUAAACACCGACCUAAAAACCAUGUGGGUGAGUGUGAGACAAGGGGAGUGAACACCUGGGGGUCUAAGUGCUAAACACAAACCAGUAACAUGAUUCAAGCAGAGUUUUUUUACUGUUUCCUAACUAGCAAAUCCUCAAGUGUGUACCGAGAGGCUGAAAAUGAGAAAGAGCAGUCAGACAGAAAGGGACCUGGGGGACUAAUGGACAGGAAGCUCAACAUGAGCCAACAGUGUGCCCAGGUGGCCAAGAAGGCCAGUGGUGUCCUGUCCUGUAUCCAAACCAGCGUGGUCAGCAGGACAAGGGCAGUGAUCCUUCCCCUGUGCUCUGCAUUGGGGAGGCCACACCUGGAGUAUUGUGUUCAGUUCUGGGCCCCUCAGCUCAGGAAAGAGAUUGAAGUGCUGGAGCGGGUCCAGAGAAGAGCAACAAGACUGGGGAAGGGACUUGAACACAAGACCCAUGGGGAGAGGCUGAGGGAGCUGGGCUUUUUUAGUCUGGAGAAGAGGAGGCUUAGAGCUGAGCUCAGCACUCUCUAGAACUACCUGAAGGGCAGUUCUAGCCAGGUGGGGAUUGGGCUCUUCUCCCAGGCAUCAGCAAUAGGACAAGGGGGCAUGGGCUUCAACUCUACCAGGGGAAAUUUAGGCUGGAGAUGAGAAAGCAAUUCUUUGCAGAGAGAGUGGUCAGGCAUUGGAAUGGCUGCCCAGGGAGGUGCUGGACUCACUGUCUUGGAGGGUUUUAAACUGAGAUUGGACAUGGCACUUAGUGCCGUGAUCUAGUCAAUGGACUGGAGUUGGACCAAGGCUUGGACUGGAUGAUCUCUGAGGGCUUUUCCAACCCAGUCCAUGCUGUGAUUCGAUUCUGUGAUGGCAAGCGAGCCUUUGCCAAGGAGCGAGCCGGCGUGCGGCCAGCGCGGCCCGGUUGGUGGCGGCCAGAACGGAGCGUUUGGAAGAGAAGCUCGUGUUGCCAAGGCAGGACGGUUGGAUAGAAGCACCUGGUUCCCAACAGCCGCGACACUUUGUCGUGUUCAGUCCAGGCGUGGAAACCAGUCCGUGUCCUGGAAACCCAGCACAUCUGGACUUGAAGCUGUGCAGAGACGGAUGUACCGCGUUCCUCAGAAGUUGGGUCCAGGCUUUGAUCGUUGCCAUCGUUUAAAAGAAAAUGCCCAGUUUUUCAUGUGAACCUGUUUAAUUGUUAUUGCCAGAUGGAAUUCCCAACAAUUUCAUCCUGAAGUGAGGAAAUGUUAUCCCUUCCCGGCAAGGAUAAGCCUGUUUGAACACUUUUGGAGCGGAACAGGGAGACGUCGUGUUGGGGUGUUCGUACCUGCUGGGGCACAUCUUACCCUUCAUUCGUUAAAGGCAAAGGUCUUGAUUUUUGUAGAAACACUGAAAAUUCCAAUUAAUUUGGGGCUUACUAAAGGCAAUCCUGGUGUGCUUCGGCAAACAAAGAAAACAAGUACUGAGUAUUUAAUAAAUGAAAUAAAGGGGGCAGAUCUUGCCCCCCUCUUUUGGGGCUUCUUCAGGCCUCGUAUGGAAGAGCUCAAGUCUUGAUGCACAGGGCAAAGGUCUUAAUUGUUGUGGAAACACUGAAAAUUCUGAUUAAUUUGGGGCUUACUUUAGGCCACCAAGAUUUCCUUUAGGAAAUCGUCGCUCAUGACACCCCAGAGUGCUCCUGUAAAGAGGUUUUAGACCCGUGCAGCAUUGUCACGAGCCGUAUGUCGACCUAAAGAAAAGGGGGAGAGCAACAGUGACUCCAGAGUGCCAGGAAAGAUUUAACAGCCAGACUUGUGCUCACAGAGCCCGAAAACUGUGCUGGAUCCGGAUAGAAAGCCUCUUGUCCUCAACAACUGUGAGCACUUCAGGAUGAACCUGUUCCUUGUGUGCUGAAGCAACAUUGUUGGCCAAGAAACCAGUUCCUGGCACAGCACUGUUUGAGUUAUUUUUGCUGUCUCUGAGACUGCAAAUAAUGAGAUGUAGACACCGAGACCUUGUGAGUGCAUUUAAUUUUCCGUUUAGCUGUAGCUUUAUUCAGCACGGCUGUAGAUAAGGGUGGCAGCAAACCAUCAUUGGAGCUUAAAGAACAUCUUUAAAAUAAGUACCAGAAUCCCAGGAUGUCAGGGGUUGAAGGGCCCUGGAAAGCUCAUCCAGUGCAAUCCCCCAUGGAGCAGGAACACCCAGAUGAGGUUACACAGGAAGGUGUCCAGGCGGGUUGGAAUGUCUGCACAGAAGGAGACUCCACAACCCCCCUGGGCAGCCUGGGCCAGGCUCUGCCACCCUCACCCCAACAAGUUGCUUCUCAUAUUUGAGUGGAACCUCCUGUGUUCCAGUUUGCACCCAUUGCCCCUUGUCCUGUCACUGGUUGUCACCAGAAGAGCCUGGCUCCAUCCUCCUGACACUGCCCCUUUCCAUAUUGAUCCCCAGGAAUGAGUCCCCCCUCAGUCUCCUCUUGUCCAGCUCCAGAGCCCCAGCUCCCUCAGCCUUUCCUCACACGGGAGAUGCUCCACUCCCUUCAGCAUCUUGGUGGCUGCGCUGGACUCUCUCCAGCAGUUCCCUGUCCUGCUGGAACUGAGGGGCCACAACUGGACACAAGAUUCCAGGUGUGGUCUCCCCAGGGCAGAGCAGAGGGGCAGGAGAACCUCUCUGACCUACUGACCACCCCCUUCUAACCCACCCCAGGUACCAUUGGCUUCCUGGCCACAAGGGCCCAGUGCUGGCUCAUGGUCACCCUGCUGUCCCCAGGACCCCCAGGUCCCUUUCCCCUACACUGCUCUCCAACAGCUCAUUCCCCAACUUAUACUGGAACCUGGGGUUGUUCCUGCCCAGAUACAAGACUCUACACUUCCCUUGUUCUAUUUCAUUACAUUUUUCCCGCCCAGCUCUCCAGCCUGUCCAGGUCUCUGAUGGCAGCACAGCUUCCAGUGUCACCACUCCUCCCAGCUUGGUGUCACCAGCAAACUUGCUGACAGUCACUCUAUUCCCUCGUCCAAAUCAUUGAUGAAUAUAUUGAAUAACAGCGGCCCCAGCACUGCCCCUGAGGCACUGCACUAGAUCCAGGCCUCAACUGGACUCUGCCCAUUGACCACGACUCUCUGGCUUCUUCCCUUCAGCCAGUUCACAGUCACCUCACCACCCGCUCAUCCAGACCCACUCCCUCAGUUCAGUGUGAGGAUGCUGUGGGACACGGUGUCAAAUGCCUCACUCGAGUCAAGGGAGAUCACGUCCACCAAGGCCUCCUAUUUCCUUUAGGAAAUCUUGGUGUGUUUUGGCAAACUAAAAAAACAAUUACUAAGUAUUUAAUAAAUGAAAUAAAGUUGA